CCCUCACGUAAUUGAUAAACAUAGAUUAAAACCAAUGUCAGGAACUAACGUCAAUUCAAAUCGCACACAAUCAGUAUUAACCUUGCCUUGUGCCUCGUCUUUUUUUAUCUUCAGCUCCCCAAAAUGCAGAUAAUGUCACAUCCACUGGACAAAACGAGACAAGCAUCAAUCUGCAGUGGGCUAAAGUAAACAACAAUGUUAGCUUUGUUCUUCAGUUUGAUGGCAGACAGGAAACUAUUACUUCACCAAAAGGAAAUGGACCAAUAUCUUACACUGUGACCAAACUUCAUCCUCAAACAAAAUACACAUUUACCCUCAUCUCUGUGUUUGAGAAUGUCACAAGCACCGGAGUCAUCUUUUCUGCAGUAACAGUGUACAAAUAUAUCAUGACGCUGAACAUCGGUAUCAAGACAUCUAGCCUCAAUGCUUCACAAAUAGAGGAACUUGUGAAAGAGCAUCUCAAGAAAAUCGAAAAAUCUGCGGAGUUAGUCAAAUUUACCCCGAAGACAUGAGAGGCGAGGACUUAUUUCAAACAAAGAGACACAAAUGGAUUGUGAAAAUUUCUACUCCUCAGAAGUCUUUGACCUCAAUAUAUAUACAUUUUUUUGUAAUUUGUUUUACAUCUUAGUAACAUAUAAUGAAACAAAAAGGUAAUGUUUUUUUUUUAUUUUAAUUUGUAUAACUUCUUAUACAGUGUUUUAAUGUUUUAAUAAAUAUGUUAUAAAGUUUGUAAUUGAAAGUUGUCUUUUUUCAUAACAUUAUUAUGCAAAGUUUUUUUUCCCUGCAAACCUCAUGAAAUUUGUUAUUUGAAUAUUUUCUAGUUGAUUUAGAAUGAAUCAACUGGAAAAAUGAGUAAAUCGUUCAGAGCAAGGGUCUAUUCACAGAUGUGUAGCAGAUUAGCAAUAUUAAUCAAAUGUCUAACAAAAUGAUAACAAUAAAGAGGUUUUAAGAAGUGUUAUAACAGUGUGAGCUUCGGCUGCAGUUUAUUGUUUAUAUAGCAGAGUCUCUUAGAAUGUUAUCCAUGCUGUCACAAAUCAGUGUUAGCCUUUUCCCUCCUUUUUUUAUAGUCAGUGGUCCAUCGCAAUAAUCUGGUUCGAUUUUUGUGGCGUCUCAGUUUCACAGAGUUUUUUUGUGCAACUUUGCAUGCUUUUGUUUUUUCUUUUUUUUGAUGAUUGGAGUUUAAUAUUGCUACAAAAUGUAUGAAAAAGCAAAUGGUUUGUUCCACAAAAGAACCAAAUGGCCAAACUGUUCUCAUUUGUUCAGCAUUACAAAGUAAAAGACAAUA